CUUUAUUUGUUUAAUUAUGGCAAUAGAAAGUGUGUAACUCAUUGAUUGCAUAAAGUUAUUAUAUUUUAUACAUUGUUUAUGAAUUACUAUUUAUGAUUAGCAAUCAGUUUUUUGUUAAGAUUUAUGUCUUAUAAGGGUGGGUUAUAAAAAAGGGGAUAGGACACAGUGCCAGCAUCUGCGGUUAGUCUGUUUUCUUUGCUUUUUUAUAGACUGGAUUUAUAUAUUUAUAACUAAAAUUAGGUUAAAUUUUUUUUUUACAGAGUUAAAUAUUUAGAUUGAUGAAAGAUGUAUAAUAGUGACAGGGAUUAGAUACCCCAUUAAUGUACAUUGUAGCUUUGUCUUAGUUAAUAUAACUAAAAUAAUUUGGCAGUGAGCGACUCUUUUUAGGGGAAGGUGUGGUGUAAAGGAUGUUCCGCCUAAUAAUUUACUUUCGUUAUGUUGGUGUAUAUCUGGUUUAAUAUUAUCAUUGAGUAAGUGAGUUUGUGUAGUUUUAUUUAAGCCAAGUCUAUGUGCUGCUUAUGAAAGUAUUCAUGCGUUACAUUUAUAGGGUUUUGGUUGUAAUACUAAAAUAUUUAGGACUUAAAAGUAAUGUUCAAUAAGUUUGUGAGUGUGAAGUAAGUUUAGCUCAUGUACACACCGCCCGUCACCCUCGAUGCAUAUUGAGGUAAGUCGUAACAAGGUAACUUUAAAUGAAUUUGAAGUUGGU
rnacentral:ncRNA from 1 species